AUUGAACGCUGGCGGCAUGCUUUACACAUGCAAGUCGAACGGUAACAGGCCUUCGGGUGCUGACGAGUGGCGAACGGGUGAGUAAUGCAUCGGAACGUGCCCAGUAGUGGGGGAUAGCCCGGCGAAAGCCGGAUUAAUACCGCAUACGACCUACGGGUGAAAGGGGGGGAGUCGCAAGACCUCUCGCUAUUGGAGCGGCCGAUGUCAGAUUAGGUAGUUGGUGGGGUAAAGGCCUACCAAGCCUGCGAUCUGUAGCUGGUCUGAGAGGACGACCAGCCACACUGGGACUGAGACACGGCCCAGACUCCUACGGGAGGCAGCAGUGGGGAAUUUUGGACAAUGGGCGCAAGCCUGAUCCAGCCAUGCCGCGUGCGGGAAGAAGGCCUUCGGUUGUAACCGCUUUGUCAGGAAGGAAAUACUUCUGGUUAAGUACCUCGGGAGGAGUGACGGUACCU
rnacentral:rRNA from 1 species